GGAUUGAUAGACACCAUCAGACAGGUAUUCAUUUGAUGAUAUGUUUAUUAUUGUGCUUGCAGGUUGAUGCACAACCGUACAGCUCGAUAAGCUACUCAGAAAAACAGCACUCGGCAUGAUGCAGCGCACUUGCACAAGCGCAGUAAUAAACAUAUUGUGAAAUUGCUGCACGUUCCACCUGUAGCACGGCAGCCUUCAUCUUCCCCUGCCUCCUCCUCCUCGCCGUGUGAGUGUGGCAGAUGUCUGAGUCUAAAUUGCAGCAGUCGACGGUGCUGAAUUUCCUGUCAGCAUCAGUCAGGCCGCUCCUUCAUCAGCGUUGGCUCGCUUUGUCUUUCAACGCUGAAUAUCAGGAACGGGAGGACACGAAGAGCUCCUCUUGUCUGUGGAGAGUUCCCGCCAUCCAGUCUCCAUCUUUGGACAACAGGCGUGGUUCUUCCACCAUGGAAGCGUGGGCCACUUUAAUCUUCAGUUUUCUUUAUUUGAUUUUUUGUCGGUCAAGAUAUGCAAAACGGCUAAAUACUAAUAACUAACAACUCACAAUAACUAAUAAUAGACUGCAAUAAUGCUCAUAAAGCAGAGUGACUUAUUUCAAACACAAGCACAUGGUGCUGAACACGAUGUGUGUGAAAAAAUCGUCCUAGAGAAUCGCAACUAUAUAUGAACAAAAAAUUUAUUAGAAAGACAAUAAUUAUGCUUGUACAAUUAUCCUUUGAUUAUUGUGGUUAAUUGGAUAAGUGAAUUUACGCAAAAUAGGAUUCUUUAUUUAUAAAUGGAAUAUUUUCAUAGUUAGAGCGUAGACAACAUGUUUCCGAACCCUAUAGUCAUCUUUACACUCCUAUUACCCAAGAUAGUAGAAAGAAUAAGUAAGACAUUAAGAAGGAAUUCCCGUCUCAAUAAAUAGAACAUUGAAAAGAGGUGCAAUACAUGAGGAAAACUUAAUAAAAGAUAAAUAAUAGUCGUCGUACGCAAUUUAAAGUAUUGACCACACACACCCUCGCCUCUAGGCCAUGAUGACGAUGCAGUAGACUUUUAUUAGGAUAGUAGGAUAUGUCCAUACAUGUCUACGUUUCCCCCGAACCUCCCCUCCGCUGGUCGAGGUCGCCAAAGGGUCAAGCUGCUGCUACUGCUUUUAAUUUAAAUUUAAACAAUAUCUGUUUGUCAUCCAUAUGUCACGGUAAGGACCUCAAAGGUCCUAUGACGUUCGCCUCACAUGCGACACUCUCAGUCGGGCCAUUGGUAAGGUCUUACCCGACGUGGUCCCAUGAUCGAUCCUUUGGGUUCAUUGGUCAAUUGGGCCUUUCACACCUCACACAGGACGAUAAUAUUCAAGGCUUUUGAUCAUUUUUUUAUCCCCAAAUUGUCCUGACUGAUCGUGAACAAUCAUUUACAUGCCUCUUGUAGGAUGUGAGCAUAGGAGGCGUAAUGGGGGGGCGGAUUCCGGUCCUGACAUAGACCGUUGCGUGGUUAUGAUGUCACCUGGUUUGCAGCUGUGACCGUGACUGGUUAAGUUGACACGGCCAUCAGUCAAAUUUGACAGGAUGUAGACUCUGUACCUCUCUGACAGGCGACCAGUCCAGGGAUGGGGAGUCGGCUGGGAUAGGCCCCAGCUUGCUGCGACCCUGAUCAGGACAGAAAAUGGCUGAACGGAUGGAUUAGUGUGAUAUCUCGUUCCAACAUUCAGUAUUUGAAGUUUUUCUCUUUUCAGUUCAAGUCAUGUGCAAAAUUAAGAUAAUCCUGUCAUCAUGUUGACACCCGAAGACUUCCUGUUGAAGAUGACUAAGGAGAGAGCAACAGCAAGCAAACAAAGAAAGCGUGGAAGUUGUUGAUUUCAAUCCAGUCUUUCUUCACAGGAAAGUGUCUUCAUUCAUCCUUCUUGUCAUCUUCCCAUCCCGCCACCCCUGCCCCUUGCCUCUUCCUCCUCCAGCGAUCAAAGCGUGGCGGCGACUCGCUCACGUUUGGCUUUUAUCACGAGCUGCGCUCUCCGACACGUGGAGAUAAUUUUGAC